rnacentral:rRNA from 1 species
AGUGAACGCUGGCGGUAGGCCUAACACAUGCAAGUCGAACGGCAGCACAGUAAGAGCUUGCUCUUACGGGUGGCGAGUGGCGGACGGGUGAGGAAUACAUCGGAAUCUACUUUUUCGUGGGGGAUAACGUAGGUAAACUUACGCUAAUACCGCAUACGACCUACGGGUGAAAGCAGGGGAUCUUCGGACCUUGCGCGAUUGAAUGAGCCGAUGUCGGAUUAGCUAGUUGGCGGGGUAAAGGCCCACCAAGGCGACGAUCCGUAGCUGGUCUGAGAGGAUGAUCAGCCACACUGGAACUGAGACACGGUCCAGACUCCUACGGGAGGCAGCAGUGGGGAAUAUUGGACAAUGGGCGCAAGCCUGAUCCAGCCAUACCGCGUGGGUGAAGAAGGCCUUCGGGUUGUAAAGCCCUUUUGUUGGGAAAGAAAAGCAGUAGGUUAAUACCCCGCUGUUCUGACGGUACCCAAAGAAUAAGCACCGGCUAACUUCGUG